rnacentral:rRNA from 1 species
GACGAACGCUGGCGGCGUGCUUAACACAUGCAAGUCGAACGGAAAGGCCCUGCUUUUGUGGGGUGCUCGAGUGGCGAACGGGUGAGUAACACGUGAGUAACCUGCCCUUGACUUUGGGAUAACUUCAGGAAACUGGGGCUAAUACCGGAUAGGAGCUCCUGCUGCAUGGUGGGGGUUGGAAAGUUUCGGCGGUUGGGGAUGGACUCGCGGCUUAUCAGCUUGUUGGUGGGGUAGUGGCUUACCAAGGCUUUGACGGGUAGCCGGCCUGAGAGGGUGACCGGCCACAUUGGGACUGAGAUACGGCCCAGACUCCUACGGGAGGCAGCAGUGGGGAAUAUUGCACAAUGGGCGGAAGCCUGAUGCAGCAACGCCGCGUGCGGGAUGACGGCCCGCGGGUUGUAAACCGCUUUCGCCUGUGACGAAGCGUGAGUGACGGUAAUGGGUAAAGAAGCACCGGCUAACUACGUG